UCUGAUUUCUUCUUCAAGGACCGGUUUGCCUAAAGCCCCCACAUCUCUUGAGCCGGCCCUGCACAAAGGUCGGAUGUCAUAUUUAUUUUUCCAAGCUGUUAUAAUCUUAAAAAUCUGAUGCAGACUUGCUUAUAACACAAUCUAACAGAAAACGCCAAAAAACGAUUUUGCCUAAACAAAACAGGUUGAUAUAUGUGAACUACACUGAAUAAAAAACAGGUAGGCAUAUGAACAUCACCUCAUUACAAUAGUUCCAACUUUGGUUUAUUAGAACACCAUCUCAUAAGAAACUAUGCAACUGAUUUUGCUACUGGUUUAUCAUCAGUUGGAGGGUUGAACAGUUAUGACUUUGAACACCAAUGUCAAUCAGCAGAGUUCAUACUCUUGUUGUUCAAUAAAGUUUGUUACAAUCCUCACAUAGACAAUCCCUAAUCUCGGUUCCCUUGAAAUGAUUAGAGUAUCAAGUUAUCAUUAUUGUCAAUGGUUGUAUUCUUCACAGUCAUAUGGUUGAUCUAAGGAUUAAACGCACACUGGAAACUAAUAAUAGAUCUCAAAGAACUGAAUAGAAAACAAAAGAUAUUAAAAAAAGUGAUAAUUAGCCUAUACUUAGACUUUUAUUUCGCAUGAGUGUGAUAGUUAGAAAUGUUUAAAUUGAGAAAAUGGUGGAUAAAAUCGAAGAAAAAAUAGAUUAUUUUUUUCAAGCUCGUUCGAAUAAGCAACUUUUAAAUUUCAGUAUAUGUUUCUGCGACCCACGUCUCUCAUCACAUUCUAAGGAUGGAUGACCUUGCAUGGACAACUAAUGGGAAUCCUUACUUGGGAAUGAGAAAGUAUACGCAUAUUGUUAACAAUGAAAUAUUUGAGGAUGUAAUUUUCUUAUAAAUCUGCAAGGACAUGUUGUCCGCAAAAGUAAUGAUUCUUGACCAUCAAAAUAUAUAGAUCAAAGAAAUGAAGACAAAUUAAAAAGAAGCAAAACGUCACUUUUGUGAGUAUUCAUACCUUGCAUACCGAGAAGCAAAUAUGAAAUAACUGAGAUCCUCAAGCAACUUCAUGUUUGUUGGUGGCACCACCUUGACUUCUUGAAUGAUAAGUUGUUUUUCGGCUUCCAAUGAUGAAUUCAGUGUAUCUGUUGGAUGACCUAUUGAAGGGUCGCCUCAAAACUAAACUGCAAUAUGCAUGUAUUUAUGUCAUAAAGCAAAAUGUUCAUGUGCGAACAUCAAACUAUUGAACAUGCAAAAACUCUAAACGUCAAACUAGUUAGAACAAUAGUCAAUCUAGCUCUUUGUUUGGUUUCCCACUCAUUCCGUGAUAACUUAAGAUAUAGACAAUAUAACAAUUGCUUCUAAGACCAUUAUCUAAAAUUGAUACUAAAUGAAACCAUGUACUAAGACCAUGAAUAAUAUUUCCCCCCUUCCUUUAUUCAUGUCAUCUAGUGUUUUUUUUUUUUUUUGUUACUUCUAAGCUAGUGUUUGUCUAAGAAACAUUUCCUUAGGUUGCCUUUGGCAGAACUAAGAGUUGUCUGUGUAGCUUGAUGUUUGUAUAAGUAUUCAUGUUUGUUGUGUAAGGAGAAACUGAUGUGUCUGGGUUAAGAAUAGCUGAUGGACAUCCAUAUAUAUGAUUACAUAUGUGUAAAUUUUUGUCAUCAAUUUGGGGAAAUCUACAACAAUGAAAAUUAUAAGUAAACCUAUAACAUAUCACUAACUUUAAAAAUCAAGAUCAAUACUCUAAUAUUGGCAUCAACGAAUGGCCUUCAUUACCAACAUCAACUUGAAAAUUAACUGGUGAUUGAUCUGAUCCAAUUUGGAGUCUGGCCUCUCAUAUAGAGGGUCCUUCUCUAUCGUGGUUAAUAACAAAGGUACUACAGGGAGUAAGGUUGGACUGUUUUACAGGUUCUCACUCCUCUCAUACUAAUUGGUGUUGCCUCGGUGUUUAAAUAAUGUAGAUUGUGAACCACAGUCAACAUGCAGUUAAGGUCGGCAAAUCAUGGCUACUAAAUUCAUUGCGCUUGUUAAUUUUUCAUAUCUAAAUUGCAAAGAUAGAAGUCUUGGCUACCUAAUUAUCUUAGUCAGACCUCCAAAUAUUUUAGUAUACAUUGUUGUGCAUCUCAAUCAUCUCCAGUGUUUGGCUGAAGCCCUAUUCUCAUUAUAGGUUGGAGCCUGUAAAUUUUAUCUAUUUGGGAAUGUUUGGGUGAUCUAAAUGAAGAGACCGAAACGGUUUUGGAAUAAUAUAUAGUAUGAGUUCAAUAUUUAAAAUAAUUUUGGAAAACAAUAGAAAGAAGAGAGCAAAUUAUGGAACAUGAAAGAAUUUUUAGAAGAAGUACGCGACUACGACAUUUGAUUUAGCAAACAAUAAGAGGAGAAUUUUGGAGUAGAAGAACAAACAAAUAAAAAAACACAAAAGCAGUAUAAGUGGCACACAAAAGAACUGCACUAAACCUUCUUGUAAGACAAUUAAAAAUCCUCUGUAAAAUCAAUUUGUUAAUGAAAUUAAUCCAUCAGUAAUAGGAAAACAGUAUGCCUACAAACUAAAUCGGAUUUUCCUAAAUUUUGGCUUCACUUCACACCAAUUGCCCAAAUCAGAAAGAGAUUGAAGUAUUAAACCAAUAGUUCAAUGUUGGUUUCCUUUGUAUUUAAAAUUUGAAAAGCACAUUCAAACUAUGAAAAAAUAGCCGAAUUGAAAAUCAAUUUCAGAGAACAAUAGAUAGAAGAACCAAUCCUCACCUGAAAGUAUUCCAUCGAAGCAGGAAUUGAUUCCCGUUGAAGCAAACCAAAUUUGUAAAGCAGCGAUGUAAGAGCAAAGAACUUGGAGAAAGAAAGGAAUUUGAGAAGAAGGAAAAAUAGGGAAAAAAAAAAA
rnacentral:lncRNA from 1 species